GACGAACGCUGGCGGCGUGCCUAAUACAUGCAAGUCGAGCGGACUGAUUAAGAGCUUGCUCUUAUGACGUUAGCGGCGGACGGGUGAGUAACACGUGGGCAACCUGCCCUGUAGAUCGGGAUAACACCGAGAAAUCGGUGCUAAUACCGGGUAAUAUCUGAGAUCACAUGAUCUUAGGUUAAAAGAUGGCUCCGGCUAUCACUACAGGAUGGGCCCGCGGCGCAUUAGCUAGUUGGUAAGGUAAUGGCUUACCAAGGCGACGAUGCGUAGCCGACCUGAGAGGGUGAUCGGCCACACGGGGACUGAGACACGGCCCAGACUCCUACGGGAGGCAGCAGUAGGGAAUCUUCCGCAAUGGACGAAAGUCUGACGGAGCAACGCCGCGUGAGUGAUGAAGGGUUUCGGCUCGUAAAGCUCUGUUGUUAGGGAAGAAACAGUACCGAACGAACUAGGUCGGUACCUUGACGGUACCUAACCAGAAAGCCACGGCUAACUACGUG
rnacentral:rRNA from 1 species